CGCCGCUGUCGACCGAGAUGAGGAAGGCCAAGCCAUUAUCGAAAUAGUUGCGCGCGUAGGCACACCAGCAGAAAAAGGCACCGGCCACUCCAAGCUCGUCCGGCACUACGACUCGGAGGCCUCCUGGAACAAUCUAUUGCCUCAUGAUGAAGCAAUAUUUGGAUAUGUCAUCGAAGCCAGGGAGACCAAGAGCAGUAGUCAUCUGCUCCACAAGGUAGCUGACUGAUCAGGCUGAAGAGAUGGGUAGGUUUUUCGGAAACACAAUUAUAUCCAGGUGAAGGAGCUGGUUUGCUUCACCUUCAUAGCACCUAUAGACAGGAUUCUAAUUGUAGGUGAUAAAUGGUGUUUAUUGCCUUCUUGCAUAGUUCAAAAUGUGCUUGAUCGUAUUGUGUCCAGGAUGGUUCAAAAGCAUCAUAGCUAGGCGCACUGAAUUUGUGACUAUGCCCAGACUACUGGGAAUGUUCUUACCAACGGGGAAAAUUGGUAUAUUCAAGCCUAGCAUGCUCAUUUUGGA